rnacentral:rRNA from 1 species
AUUGAACGCUGGCGGCAUGCCCUACACAUGCAAGUCGAACGGUAACAGGUCUUCGGAUGCUGACGAGUGGCGAACGGGUGAGUAAUACAUCGGAACGUGCCUAGUAGUGGGGGAUAACUACUCGAAAGAGUGGCUAAUACCGCAUGAGAUCUACGGAUGAAAGCAGGGGAUCGCAAGACCUUGUGCUACUAGAGCGGCCGAUGGCAGAUUAGGUAGUUGGUGGGAUAAAAGCUUACCAAGCCGACGAUCUGUAGCUGGUCUGAGAGGACGAUCAGCCACACUGGGACUGGGACACGGCCCAGACUCCGACGGGAGGCAGCAGUGGGGAAUUUUGGGCAAUGGGCGAAAGCCUGAUCCGGCAAUGCCGCGUGCAGGAUGAAGGCCUUCGGGUUGUAAACUGCUUUUGUACGGAACGAAAAGCCCCGGGUUAAUACCCUGGGGUCAUGACGGUACCGUAAGAAUAAGCACCGGCUAACUACGUGCCAGCAGCCGCCGUAA